GGGGAGUACGGCCGCAAGGUUAAAACUCAAAUGAAUUGACGGGGGCCCGCACAAGCGGUGGAGCAUGUGGUUUAAUUCGAUGCAACGCGAAGAACCUUACCUGGUCUUGACAUCCACAGAACUUAGCAGAGAUGCUUUGGUGCCUUCGGGAACUGUGAGACAGGUGCUGCAUGGCUGUCGUCAGCUCGUGUUGUGAAAUGUUGGGUUAAGUCCCGCAACGAGCGCAACCCUUAUCCUUUGUUGCCAGCGGUCCGGCCGGG
rnacentral:rRNA from 1 species